rnacentral:rRNA from 1 species
GACGAACGCUGGCGGCGUGCUUAACACAUGCAAGUCGAACGGAAAGGCCCUGCUUUUGUGGGGUUCUCGAGUGGCGAACGGGUGAGUAACACGUGAGUAACCUGCCCUUGACUUUGGGAUAACUUCAGGAAACUGGGGCUAAUACCGGAUAGCAGCUCCUGCUGCAUGGUGGGGGUUGGAAAGUUUCGGCGGUUGGGGAUGGACUCGCGGCUUAUCAGCUUGUUGGUGGGGUAGUGGCUUACCAAGGCUUUGACGGGUAGCCGGCCUGAGAGGGUGACCGGCCACAUUGGGACUAAGAGACGGACCAGAGUCCUACGGGAGGCAGCAGUGGGAAAUAUUGCACAGUGGGCGGGAGCCUGUUGCAGCAACGCCGCGUGCGGGAUGACGGCCUUCGGGUUGUAAACCGCUUUCGCCUGUGACGAAGCGUGAGUGACGGUAAUGGGUAAAGAAGCACCGGCUAACUACGUG